rnacentral:tRNA from 365 species
GGCUACAUAGCUCAGUCGGUUAGAGCGCAGCAUUCAUAAUGCUGAUGUCCCAGGUUCAAGUCCCGGUGUAGCCACCA